GUAUGCCUACGGGGGGCAGCAGUGAGGAAUAUUGGUCAAUGGGCGGGAGCCUGAACCAGCCAGGCCGCGUGAAGGAAGAAGGCGCCAGGCGUCGUAAACUUCUUUUGUCGGGGAACAAAGGGCGCCACGCGUGGCGUUGUGAGUGUACCCGAAGAAAAAGCAUCGGCUAACUCCGUGCCAGCAGCCGCGGUAAUACGGAGGAUGCGAGCGUUAUCCGGAUUUAUUGGGUGUAAAGGGUGCGUAGACGGGAAAUUAAGUUAGUUGUGAAAUCCCUCGGCUUAACUGAGGAACUGCAACUAAAACUG
rnacentral:rRNA from 1 species